CUCACCUGCUGCCAAUGUUUGAAGUUGAGUCAGUCAGCUUGUUGACAUGCUGCUAAGAGGAAGGAAGACAGCUCCUGUGUGGACUCAGAAGACACAACUGCUGAGAAAAGCAAAGGAAAGAAGUGCUUCUUUGCUUCUUUGGACUGAGGACAAUGUUGACAGAAAUAUUGAAGGACGUUGACUCUCAGGAAUUUGGUCUCAACAACUUCUGCAAACGUCCUCUGGCGGUCAUGUUUGGUACAGCAGGAUGACAAAAAGAAGAAGGAAAGAAGAGAAGGAGACAAGUUUGGAUGCAUGAAGGAAACAAGGAAAGAGAGAAAUAUGAAUGACAACAUGUUGUUUCGUGUGGUGAAAAGAAGAAAAUCAAAUAUUUCGACUGACUUUGACAGAAUGAAAGUCAUUUGUGCAGGAAAAUCCUAAUAUUAAAGUGAAAAUGUGUUAAGAAUAGAGUUUUAUUGUCGUUAUUGCAGUCAACAGGUUCAAAGAACAACACAAUUGGAGGUCAUUAAGGAAAUGAAGGCACAUUUAAUGAAUUAUUGUUUAUGUUGCAUUGUAAAUGUUGUAUUUGUAUGUAUGUAACAUGUUUAUAUACAAGACAUUAAUAAUAAUAGUAAUGUACAAAGCAGUCAAGUUGUCACCUUGCUUAAAUGCUAAAUAAAAAGAGAAUACAACAAAUCUUCACACUGACAAACGUUCUUCUUUUUUGCAAAUAUUAGCUCAUUUGGAAUUUGUUGGCUGCGACAUGUUUCAAAAAAGCUGGCACCAGUGGCAAAAAAGAGUGAGAAAGUUGCGGAAUGCUCAUCAAACACUUAUUUGGAACAUUCCACAGGUGAACAGGCUAAUUGGGAACAGGUGGGUGCCAUGAUUGGCUAUAAAAGCAGCUUCCAUGAAAUGCUCACUCGUUCACAAACAAGGACGGGGUGAGGGUCACCACUUUGUCAACAAAUGCCUGAGCAAAUUGUUUAAGGACAACAUUUCUCAACAAGGAAUUUAUGGAUGUCACCAUCUACACUCCGUAAUAUCAUCAAAAGGUUGAGAAAAUGUGGAGAAAUCACUGCACGUAAGCCAUGAUAUUACGCACCUUCCAUCCCUCAGGCAUCAAAAAGCCACAUCAGUGUGUAAAGGAUAUCACCACAUGGGCUCAGAACCACUUCAUAAAACCACUGUCAGUAACUACAGUUGGUCGCUACAUCUGUAAGUGCAAGGUAAAACUUUACUUUCCAAAGCCACAUUCAUUUAUCAACAACACCCAGAAACACUUCAAUCCUAACUUCAUGAUUAUUUGCAAACAAUAACAAAGUUUGUCAGUGUGAACAUGAAAUAUCUUGUCUUUGCAGUCUAUUCCAUUGAAUAGAGUUGAAAAGGAUUUGUUGUAUUCUCUUUUUAUUUACAAUUUACACAACUUCACUGCU